UCACCCCUCAAGCCCUGGGCUUGGUGUUGGACGGCCGGUCGAGCGAUCGACCCCUCCUAAAGACAAUGACGGCGGCCUGCGGUUCCCCCGGUACACUGAGCUUUCACGAGCACGUAUCGGACGAGGGCACCCGGGACCCGGUCCCCCUCCUUGCACAAGGAAACUUCUAU
rnacentral:misc_RNA from 1 species